AUUUACGUAUUUUUAUUGUGACUCAUCACCACCUGAGUAAACUAUAUUUCACUGAAUUUCGACUGUUCUCUAUACAGCGUAGCCUGCUGAUGAUAAGGUCAGGCUGUUAUAGGACUUACAAGUUAGAUCAGUUCCUUCUUUUGACUAUGAAUUUGUUUGCUGUUUUGCUUUCUGUUUGCAGCCAAAAUGACCGCCUUUCUUUGCAAUUGCUAUUCUGAAUAAAAGCUUUGACAUUUCCCAUAUUCUCUCCUUCUCUCUCCCAGUUCAAGUUGAUGAAGGAAGAGAGCAAGAACUCUACUAUUAUACUUCUUUUCUAAUGUAGCUGCAUGAAACUUGAUUCAGUAACUCCUUGGAGCUUGAUACCAAUGACAAAUAAGCUCAUCUGAAGCUCAUUAUCAAUACCAGUUUCCACCUGGUCUGGAUAACUAAAGAUUCCUGAAAUUGCAGACCUACUCAUAGCAUCUUCUACCCUAAAUAUCCUGAAUGGGUUAAUAAUUGUCUUGCUAAAAUACUGAGAGGAGCAGAACUGAUGAAGACUCAAAUACUUGGAUUCUGUGCUAUUGAAUCAGGCUGAAGCGAUGCCAAGAGGAAACAUCAAGACAUCAAAAUAAAUGCUGUAUGCGUUCUUAAAAUACAAGAAAUCAAGUGAGAUUUUGGAGCCAUAAAAUUAGAAGGGUUAAGGUUUGGAAGGGCACUGCCCAGAGCAUCAGCUGCUGUGCGCUGAGAGGAAGCAUGAGGACCCUGUGGGUGCCCAAAGAGGCUUUUGUGUCCAGAUCUGUGUUAAAGAUAAAUGAAAUCUUCUACAGUGAAGAACUGCAAGAGUUAGACAAGUUCUGUGAAAUAAAUGGCAUUGAGGUAAGGAGAGACUCCAUCAGCAAAUUAAAAGUGCAUGUGAGAAGCUUGUGGCAUCAGAUGACAGAGUACGGAUCUCCACCAUGCUACUGGUCUUCUGGCUCUGUUGGAAUCAGGGCAAUGAGGAUGUUAAGGAUCUCCUAUCAGAUAUAGAGCUUCAUGAAAGCUCUGGUCCCUAAAGCAAGCAUUUGACUGAUGGACUUACAAACAUUAUUGAAGAGUUUAUAUGAUUUUAAUUAAAAAAAAAAAAAAAAAAAUCCCUUCAGACAGCAGAAAGGUGAUCUUGUUUUUAUUUUCUUCUGAUUUGCUUUGAGAAAAUUGAGUUGUAUCUUAUGUAUCUAAUAUGUAUCUAAUGUAUCUUAUCACUUUUUUUUGUCUUGUUUAAAAUUUUUGACAGUUUUCUCACUGAUAUCUGCACACAUAUUAUCUAUUACUAAAGAUUCUAGUUCUAUUACAAUUCUGAUUUUGAGGGAAGCUUUAAGGCACUCGAUUGAAUGUCAAGUAAUGCAGUGUGGAAGAUAGCCAAAUGAAUGGUGGCUUGAGUCAUAAAAAAGACUGAAAGUCACAUGAAAAAAAAAAAAGCCAAGUAACAAUCAGAAUCAUGUUUAUGCAAUAAUGGCACCUGUCUGAACCCAUUGUCUUCAGGGUCUUGGUUCAGACUAUGGUACAGGAUGAUAGUUGGCAAUGGGGGAUGAUCUCUGAUAACUGAAAAUGCCAGAAUAUGUAUUGGUGAAUACAUCAUGCAGCAUUCAAUACUUUCUUUUAUGCAAAAGUCAUUUUCAGAGAUGGAUGACACAACAUUAAAUAAAUUAACAGUAUGUUUUAGCGUGGCA
ensembl:lncRNA